ensembl:lncRNA
CUUUGCAGGGACUCUUCAGUGGGCACAGGGCCUGGAUCGUCAGCUGAGCAGUUGGGGCAGUGUUGCAUUUGAGCAACAAUGACCGCACCCAUUCUGAUGACCAAGGCAAUAACGCUUGGUGAGGACACAGCCAGAUGGCAGCUGUCUGCAAGUCAGGAAGAAACACCUCGUCCUGGAACCAAAUCAGCUGGCACCUUCCUCUUGGAUUUCCCAGCCUCUGGAACUGUCUUUAGCCUGCUAUAAUCAUGGAAAGAAGGGGAUUCCUUGUUGCUGCUUUGGUCUUUUGGUUUCGAGGCUUUUCUUCACUUGCUUCUGGGAGGAAACACUAUGAAGGCAAGAGUGCCGGCUUCCUAAGGAGAGAGUCAGAAGAUGAGCUGCAGAUUUCAACCCUGCCACUACUUGUGUGAACCCAGACAAGUCCUUUAGUAUCUCCAGCUCUCAGACAGGUUGCUUCAGCUCUUUGAGGCUCACAUUUUCUCAUCUGCAACGUAAGUGGAUUAAAAGACAGGAUUCAGGACCCUUCCAGACUGCAGACACUGCUAUACUCUGAAAUUUGGAACGACAGCUAGCUUUGGAGACUGGAAGCCCUGGAUGUGCAUCUCAGAUUCACCACUUUCUAGUUGGCUGAGCCAAUCUUCAGACAGGCCAGCUGGAAAGGCGGUAGAAAACCUAAGCAAACCCCAAUCUUAAUGCGAGGAAGCCGCUGUAAAAGGAGAGUCUGUACUAUCUUCCCAGACAUGAAAGGCUGUUUGAAGGUGAGCACUAAAAACUGAGAGGCAAUUCCCAAGGCAGGUGUGACAGAGAAGACAGCUCUUUAGUCAGGAGAGAUGUGAACACGACGGGAAAAGAGGAAAGAUGCAGUUCUAUAGGUUUAGGACCGGGGAAAUAAAGAAUUUCCAUCUCAGGUGGACCUCUGAAGUUUUUAUUUUCUGUGAAAUGUUGUGAACCUUUUUGAUUCAGGGAAGAAAAGGAUCCAAAUACGCCAAACAUCUUAAUAUUUGUUGAGUCCCACAUUUUUCAUUUAGGAGAAAGCAGCAAAUUACAAGAAAAAUUUUAUUAGUGUAAAUAUUAGGGAGUUGAUCACAGGGUAACUCACCUUAAGGAGCAUACACUUUUGAGAAAAAAGUUGUCCUCGAUGAAUUUUUUUUCUCUACUACAUGUAUUUUCCCAUUGAUUGUCCUGAUAAAACCAAAAGUGUAUUUGCCUGAGAAUAUUGAUCCCAAAUGAUAAUAUAGUCACAUCUGAGAAUGCAGAAAACCUUUAAAAAAAUCAUGCUCAAAUAUGUUUUGGAUGACUUAAAGGGUAGUUAUUUAAUAAUAAUCUAAAAAUGCUUAAACUGUAUCCCAGAACAUACGCAAAGUUGUAAGGGCAACUUUGAUGUUUUAUGUAGUAGCUUGAAUGGUUCCAUCAAAAAGAAAAAUGUGGGCAAGCUGAACAGAAAGCCCUCAGCGGAAGGCUCAUUUAGCUUCUCUCAAGCCCUGUUCCCCAAGAUGUUUUAUAGCAGGGGACUGUGGACUUACUUCGGCUGCUCAGACCUGUUUCUGGAGACCCACGGGAAGCACCGAGACACGAGUAGGUCGAUCUUGGAUAGGAGGAGGAAAGACAGGCACACAGCCGAGGGGGGAAUGCAGAAGGCAGCCCUAACAAAGGGAAGGCGCCCCUUCAGCUCACCCGGAGAACCAGGACACGCUGAGUGUUCUGACAAUGUGUAUUCAACACGGCCCUGAUUUCUAGGUGAUGGCAGAAUUUAUAACUGGCUAAUAGUUUUCUUAUUUGGGAAUAUGUGGCCUGUAAGCGCUCUAUAAUGUUGCCUUUUGGCAUACAGAAUGUCUCCAUAAUGCUUCUGUAUCAACUGAAUGCUCCUAGAAUGUUAGCAUCUUUCAGAGCAGUCACGAGUUGGGCCAAUGCAGAGUGAGGGGUUGGACUUGCUGGUAAACUGUCUGCAGACAGGCUAAGCGGGACUUUAAAAUCGUGAGGUAUGGUACUACCUCCCACUGCUUAUAUCACUCUCAGGUCAGACCUUAUGUCUCAGAGGUGUUGUAUCUCUUCUAGAAGUUUCUAAGGGCCUAUCAUAUCCAUCAAGAACGCCUUGGUUUGCCCUUUUCAAAUUCGAG